rnacentral:misc_RNA from 1 species
GAUGAAGAACGCAGCGAAAUGCGAUAACUAAUGUGAAUUGCAGAAUUCCGUGAAUCAUCGAGUCUUUGAACGCACAUUGCGCCCCCUGGUAUUCCGGGGGGCAUGCCUGUCCGAGCGUCAUUACAACCCUCAAGCCCGGCUUGUGUAAUGGGCGGCCGUCUCUCCCCCCGGGGGGAGACGCACCCGAAACUCAGUGGGGAUGUCGCGAUACCGAAGCCUCAGCUAAUGGGUAAACCACAGCUGCAAUGGCCGCGGCCGGCGUCCGCCUUCCACGGUCCGUCCGCCUAGCGCGGGCGGCCUUCUCAAGGUUGACCUCGGAUCAGGUAGGGAUACCCGCUGAACUUAAGCAUAUCAAUAAGCGGAGGA